GGGAGCCGGAUGCAGCGAAAGCGGCACGUCCGGAUCUAAAUGGGAGGGGCGAGAGAUAAUACUCCCCCUCGACCCAAC
rnacentral:ncRNA from 1 species